rnacentral:rRNA from 1 species
UACGUAGGGGGCAGGCGUUGUCCGGAUUUAUUGGGCGUAAAGAGCGUGUAGGCGGUUUGGUAGGUCCGCUGUGAAAACUCGAGGCUCAACCUCGAGACGCCGGUGGAAACCAUCAGACUAGAGUCCGGAAGAGGAGAGUGGAAUUCCUGGUGUAGCGGUGAAAUGCGCAGAUAUCAGGAAGAACACCGGUGGCGAAGGCGGAUCUCUGGGCCAUUACUGACGCUGAGGAGCGAAAGCGUGGGGAGCGAACAGG